rnacentral:rRNA from 2 species
CUUUGGGUGUGACUGCGUACCUUUUGUAUAAUGGGUCAGCGACUUAUAUUCUGUAGCAAGGUUAACCGAAUAGGGGAGCCGGAGGGAAACCGAGUCUUAACCGGGCGUUAAGUUGCAGGGUAUAGACCCGAAACCCGGUGAUCUAGCCAUGGGCAGGUUGAAGGUUGGGUAACACUAACUGGAGGACCGAACCGACUAAUGUUGAAAAAUUAGCGGAUGACCUGUGGCUGGGGGUGAAAGGCCAAUCAAACCGGGAGAUAGCUGGUUCUCCCCGAAAGCUAUUUAGGUAGCGCCUCGUGAAUUCAUCUCCGGGGGUAGAGCACUGUUUCGGCUAGGGGGCCAUCCCGGCUUACCAACCCGAUGCAAACUGCGAAUACCGGAGAAUGUUAUCACGGGAGACACACGGCGGGUGCUAACGUCCGUCGUGAAGAGGGAAACAACCCAGACCGCCAGCUAAGGUCCCAAAGUCAUGGUUAAGUGGGAAACGAUGUGGGAAGGCCCAGACAGCCAGGAUGUUGGCUUAGAAGCAGCCAUCAUUUAAAGAAAGCGUAAUAGCUCACUGGUCGAGUCGGCCUGCGCGGAAGAUGUAACGGGGCUAAACCAUGCACCGAAGCUGCGG